rnacentral:rRNA from 1 species
ACGUAGGAUGCAAGCGUUGUCCGGAUUUAUUGGGCGUAAAGAGUUCGUAGGUGGUUUGUUAAGUCUGGUGUUAAAGAUCGGGGCCCAACCCCGGGACAGCACUGGAUACUGGCAGACUGGAGUGCAGUAGAGGCAAGCGGAAUUCCCAGUGUAGCGGUGAAAUGCGUAGAUAUUGGGAAGAACACCGGUGGCGUAAGCGGCUUGCUGGGCUGUAACUGACACUGAGGAACGAAAGCCAGGGUAGCGAAUGGGA